rnacentral:rRNA from 1 species
UACAGAGGGUGCGAGCGUUAAUCGGAAUUACUGGGCGUAAAGCGUGCGCAGGCGGUUCGUUGUGUCUGUGGUGAAAGCCCCGGGCUUAACCUGGGAAUGGCCAUGGAAACUGGCGAGCUGGAGUGUGGCAGAGGGGGGUGGAAUUCCGCGUGUAGCAGUGAAAUGCGUAGAGAUGCGGAGGAACACCGAUGGCGAAGGCAGCCCCCUGGGUUGACACUGACGCUCAGGCACGAAAGCGUGGGGAGCAAACAGG